rnacentral:rRNA from 1 species
AUUGAACGCUGGCGGCAGGCCUAACACAUGCAAGUCGAGCGGAGCGGCGGACGGGUGAGUAAUGCCUAGGAAUCUGCCUGGUCGUGGGGGAUAACGUCCGGCAACGGGCGCUAAUACCGCAUACUAUCAGAUGAGCCUAGGUCGGGUUAGCUAGUUGGUGGGGUAAAGGACAACCAAGACGACGAUCCGUAACUGGUCUGAGAGGAUGAUCAUUCACCCUGGAACUGAGACACGGUCCAGACUCCUACGGGAGGCAGCAGUGGGGAAUAUUGGACAAUGGGCGAAAGCCUGAUGCAGCCAUGCCGCGUGUUUGAAGAAGGUCGUCGGAGUGUAAAGCACUUUAAGUUGGGAGGCGUUACCAACAGAAUAAGCACCGGCUAACUUCGUGCCAGCCGCCGCGGUAAUAC